rnacentral:lncRNA from 1 species
UCCUUUUGGAAUUUUUAUUUUUUCUACUUGGUCCUUAGUUUAAAAUCAGUUUUUGCAAAAUCAUACCCAAUCCCCACCUUCUAGGAAGCUUCACCAUUUAGUUAUUAAAGACUCCCUAUCCUGCAAUUCCUAAAUUAACCUUUAAACCCUAAUUUUUUACUUCAGGAACCUAAAUGGGUCAUAUUGACCCAAGGUUCAUCCCCAAAACCUGGGCUUGCAGACCCGGUUUAAUUCCCCCUUUGGACUUCUGAUUUUCAAAACUCAGUUUGAACCACAAUCAAAGGUCACAAAUUUAACUAGCUAACUAGAGUUUCCCAAAAAGAAAAACAAGAAAACCUUUAAAAUGAAACUAAAACAAAAAGGGGAAAAUAAACUAAUUAGACCUAAAUAAUAAAAACCCAAAACAAAAUAAAGUAAACUUGUUAUUAAUCUAAUUAUGCAACAGAACAAUGAUAAAAAAUGAAAACAUAACAAAGAAGAAGAAAAGGGGAGACAAAAAAGAGAUGAAGAUGAACUUAAACGAAUAAAGAAAAAGAAAAAUGCAAAAAAUAAAAAGAAGCUAAAAAACAUAAGAACCGGGCGGACAAAAUCUUGAAACUACUCCUCGAACCUUUGAUUUUGACCGAAAUGUGUCUUAAUCGUGUGUUCUCAAACGAAAAUACACAAAUAAGGUCAAUUUCAGCUUCAAUCCUUCACUAAACUUGUUGAUUUGGGGUUUUGGGAUUUUAAGGUUUAGAACUUCGAUUUAAGAUUCGAAGGAGACUAGGGUGAUUCGAGGGAAAUGAGUGUAUAUUUGGAAAAAGGAGAUCAUGGGUGUUUUGGAUGUGACUUUGGGACGGAUUGGGAGCGGCGCUGCCACCGAAGAACGCUGGUGCAGUGCUAGGCUUAUGGGUUGUCUCUAAAAAGUGAGGUGAAUUGAGAGAAAUGAGUUAGAGAGGGGUAAUGGGCUUUAGGACAGUUAUAUAUUGUCAAGUACCCUAUUUCCCAAUCGUUGGACCAAGUGAUAUCAAUGACUCAUAUUUGGGGAAAUGAAAACGGGGUCGUUUGGUUACUGAUGGGGUUUGACCGGAUAGGGACGUAGAUCAGGGCCGGUUUGAGCGGGUAUUUGUGUUUAAACAAUUGGGCUUGGGCGGGAUUGGAUUUAAAUUUGCCCAAAAUCAAACUUCUUCUUUUAUUUCUUUUUCUUUCAAUUUCUAAUUUUCUUUUCCUUUUCCAAAUUAAAAUAAAACCUAAAUUAAAUAUUAAAUACUAAAUUAACCUAUUAAAAUAUUAAUUACUCAAGCAUAGUAUUUACAAAAAUUAAUUAACUCUUAAUUUAAAAGAAAAAGCUACAAAAUUCGAAAUUAAAAAAUGAAAAUGCAACAAGAACUAUUUUAUGAUUUUUUGUAAACCAAACUAAUUUACAAAUUAAAUUAAAAAUAUAAAAUUAAGUUCUAAAUAUAAAUACAAUAUAUUUUUGUAUUUUUCAUGAAUUAAUAAAAAUUAACCAUGCACGCAAGAAAUGCAAUUGAUUAGAAAAAAUUCUACAAUGCUUCCUAAAAUAACAAAUAAUUAGGAGAAAAAAUCUAAUUUCUGGAAUUCUGUAGGAGUAAUUCAUGUAAGGAUGAAAUCACGUGCUCACAGCUUCCCCUCUUUGCUCAAGACACGAAGGGUUUUCAGGCAAAAGAUAAAAUGAGUGAUUACGGGGGUUUUUUGCCCGUUUGAAACUCUAUGAGAAGCAUUUUUUUGAAAAUGAGCCUGACUGAACCUUGCUUCAGAGGUUGCCUACAUAUCCUUGGGUAUAAAGGAAUUAGGUCAUGUAGUUCUGGAAGUUGUGGUAGCUGGGAGUACCGGGAAGCUGUGAUUUCACUAUUGUUGUUGCUGCUACUACUUGUUAAACUCUUUAUUACACCAAAGACGAAAAAUAAAAAGCUAAACUGGCCAAAUCUAUCAGGUACGAGUUACAAGAUUCCUAUCUAUAAAUCUUUUGAAGCUUGAUCUUGAGUCUUAGUUAGUUCUUGUUGUAGACUCCAAUCUAAAUCUUGAUGCUCGUCAGUUGUAGGUGCUGGUUCUUUCUUCAGCUUUGGAUCCAGGAGGGAGAUGCGAAGCCUAUGACUUCAACCAUAUCUUGAAUAGUCUGCAUCCUUAUCCACUUCAACAGUUUGAGUUCCCUUCUUUUGCUAUUUUAUUCUUUCUUUAUUUUGGAUUGAGACUCAUUCUUUGGUCGUCUCGAACUUGGUGCCUUGAGGUAAAACCUGCUCAAACACCAAAAACAAACAAACAAAUAUAAUUGUUUUUCCCCAGUUUUCACUGGGAAAAUUUCCUGAGUUAAUUGUAACUAAGAUCUAAAAUAUUUUUUUUUAAGAAAUAACAUAAGGAUCGUGUGUCUUUCAGAGGAAAAAGGAACUAAGGAAUGGAGGCCCUAUGUCUAAAAUCUCAACUAGGGAAUGGAGGCCCUAUAUUGGCAAAAGGCGGCUAGGGACUGGAGUCCCUAUGUCUAAAAAAUCUCAAUUAGGGAUUGGAAUCCUAUGUUGGUAAAAAAGCGAAUAGGGAAUGGAGGCCCUAUGUCUAAAAUCUUAACCAGGGAUUAGAGCCCUAUGCUGGUAAAUGAUGAUUAAGGAAUGGAGCCCCUAUGUCUAAAAAAUCUCUACUAGGGAAUGGAGGACCUAUGUUGGCAAAAGGCGACUAGGGAAUGGACGUCGUAUGCCUAAAAAAAUCUCGACUAGGGAAUGGAGGACCUAUGUUGACAAAAGGAGAUUAGGGAAUGGAGGUCAUAUGUCUAAAAAAAAUCUCAACUAGGGAAUCGAGGCCCUAUGUUGAAAAAAUGCGACUAGGGAAUAGAGGCGCUAUGUUGGCAAAAGGUGACUAGGUAAUGGAGGCCCUAUGUCUAAAAAUUAUCUAAACUAGGGAAUGGAAGCCCUAUAUUGGCAAAAGACGACUAGGGAAUGGAGGCCCUAUUUCAAAAAAAUCUCAACUAAGGAAUGGAGUCCCUAUGUUGGCAAAAGGCGACUAGGGAAUAGAAGCCCUAUGUCUAAAAAUCUCAACUAGGGAAUGGAGGCCCUAUGUUGGAAAAAGGCGACUAGAGUAUGGAGGCCCUAUGUCUAAAAAAAAUCUCAGCAAGGGAAUGUAGGCCUUAUAUUGUUAAAAAGCGACUAGAUGAUGGAGGCCCUAUGUCUAAAAAAGUCUCAACUAGGAAAUGUAGGCCCUAUGUUGUCAAAAGGAGACUAGGGAAUAGAGGCCCUAUGUUGGCAAAAGGCGACUAGGGAAUGGAGGCUUUAUGUCUAAAAAAAUCUCAACUAGGGAAUGAAACCCCUAUGUUGGCAAACGAAAACUAGGGAAUGGAGGCUUUAUGCCUAAAAAAAAUCUCAACUAGGAAAUGAAGGCCCUAUGUUGGCAAAAUGCGACUAUGAAAUGGAGACCCUAUGCCUAAAAAAUCUCAACUAGGGAAUGGAGGCCCUAUGUAUGCAAAAUGCGACUAGGGAAUGGAGGUCCUUUGUCUAAAAAAUCUCAACUACCAAAUGGAGGCCCUAUGUUGGCAAAAGGAGACUAGGAAAUGGAGGCCCUAUAUGUAAAAAAAAACCUCAACUAGGGAAUGGAGCCCUAGGUUGGAAAAGCAUAAAAUAGAGAUUGGGGUACUAAGCUACCAUUUUUUAAUCUUUUUUUAUUUUUGUUUUCUUUUUCUUUUUAUUGAGUAAAUGCGGGAAAAAACUUGAAGGGGACUUCCCUUUUUAUGGAUUGUUGAUGCAAAGCUGUUCUAGCACUUGCACAUUUCUUUUUCCUCUUUUUUUUUUGGGUUGCACCUGCUUCUUGCAUGGUUGCUUUGGAUUGCACCUAUUUCUAACUUUUUUUCAAACAAAAAACAAUUGUUAGUUUUAAAUGGUGGUUGGUUUAAUGGCCGUGAUUAUUUUGACCAGUUGAUCUCGACCCAACUCUUUUGGUGAAAACUUCUGCGCUUGCUUGUUUUUCUGGAGGUUAAUCUCUUUCCUAAAACCGAGGAAUUCAACUUUUCAAAGUUUCGCAUGACGGUUCACUUGUGCGGGGCUUGGGCCUUUUCACCUCAUUCCACCUUUAGGGGAUUUUAACUUUGGACUUCUUUUAUUUUCAAUAACUUGAUUUCAAAGCAUCGGUCAUCAUGACUAGUCAGGAUUGACUUGAUGCACCCGCUGAGGCUGGGUACUUUUCUUCGGACUUGGCUUUUAUUAAACAGAAACCUGUAAAACCAAUCUUGUCACCUUUUCUUUGUAUUAGCUUCAUAAUAGAGUUAGACCGAAAGGGAUUCAAAGGACAAGAAAAUGAAUUUAAGGAGAAAUGUCCCUUUCGAGGAGGAAAGAAGGACUUAUCUAGAGUGCAUGCAGACUUCAAUAGACAUUACAUGCUUCUUGGACUGGAUACCCUAUCUGCACAACUAUCCAACUUCUCAUAAACCCAUUGCGGCCAUACUUUAAGACCAAGAAACCUUGCCCGGAAUCCUUCAGUGCCAAUGGUGGUGAGGGUUUUCUUAUUUUCGAUUAACAGGCCCUUUGCGGGUUUUCGCCAAUUGACCUCUCUCAUUUCUCUUCUCACCAUCACCUUAUAGUGCUCUGUACGAGUUUUCACUAACAAGACUCUCUCGUUUUUCAGUUUCUUUGCUCACCAUCGCCUUAUGGUUCACCUAGGUUUUCAGCAAUAAGACUCUCUCAUUUUAUUUCUCUCACCUUGAUUGCAUCGGAUCCAAACAACUGUGUUCUCUAAUUUUGAACAUCUUACACCAAUUGAUAGGACUUGAACAAGGUUUGGGUAAAAAGAAUUUAGACCAAAUUACAACUUUGGAACCAUUCAGGCGGGAUCAUCGCCAAACCAUUAUAACAUCUGCCCCAGUUUCACUUUUGGUGGAAAUUGGAUUAUUGAUUUGGUGUGACUGAACCCAGAGAGAGGCUGCCUGCGUAUCCUUUUAAAAUCAAGUCAAACAUAGUUCAGAGAAAACAUUUUGGUUUUGUUGUUUUGUUGUUUUUCUUUUCUUUUGAUACUUUUUUUUUUCAUUUUUUAUAUUUUUUUUCAUUUUUUUUCCAAACAUCUUCAAGUUUCAAAGAGGGUAAUGAAAGGAAAAGGUAACCGGAUCAAAGCGUUAUUAAAGGAUUAGAGUGUUUGGGGUACCGAGAAUGAAAACCUUCUUCAUCCCAAUCAGAUAAUUUUAUUGUUGUAGAAGGAUUAGACAUAGUACCUUUUGACUGCAUCCGCAUCUACAGCUAUUUCAGGUUCGCUUCCUUCAAUGUCUGCUAGAUAUAAUGCCUCUUUUUGGAAACAAUGUUUUGAUAAUGUAUGGACUUUUCCAAUUAGGAGCAAAUUUUCCUUUUUCUUCCUGGCGAUGGGAAUAAUAUGCCUUAAAACGAGUUUCCCACUUCAAAAUUUCUAGGUUGUAAUUUUUUGUUGUAGGCAUGAUUCAUUCUUUGUUGAUACAACCGCUCAUGGUAGACUGCGACCAUUCGCUUUUCAUCGAUCAGGGUUAACUGUUCUAGACGGGUUUUGAUCCAUUCACUAUCUUCAAUUUCAGCUCUGACAAGGAUCCGAAGAGAAGGGAUUUCAACUUCUACUGAUAUUACGGCUUAGUGCCGUAAACCAAUAGGUAUGGGGUUGCUCCAACCGAUGUGCGCAUAGUAGUGCGGUACCCCAACAAUGCAAACAAUAACUUUCCAUGCCACAGCGUGGAAUUUUGAAUCAUCUUUCUCAAAAUCUUUUUGAUGUUCUUGUUUGCUGCUUCGACGGCACCAUUGGCUUUAGGCCGAUAAGGAGUGCAGUCCCAAUGUGUUAUUUUGAAUACUUUGCAAUAUCUCCUCCGUCAAAUGACUGGUCAAGUUUGCAGUGUUAUCUGUGAUGAUAGUUGUAGGGAUACCAAAAUGGCAGAUAAGAUUGGAGUGCACGAAAUCUACCACAUCUUUCUUGGUGACGGAUUUUACAGUGAAGGCUUCAACCCAUUUCAUGAAGUAGUCGAUGGUGACUAGUAUGAAUCUAUGCCCAUUUGAGGCUUUUGGCUCGAUUGCCUUAAUAAUGUCCAUGCCUCAAGUAACAAAUGGCCAAGGUGUUGACAUAUAAUGCAGUUCUAUGGGUGGUGGAUGAAUCAAAUCACCGAGCACCUGACUCUGAUAACACUUCCGAACAAAGCUAAAACAGUCUCUUUCCUAUUUUGAAUCAUCUUUCUCAAAAUCUUUUUGAUGUUCUUGUUUGCUGCUUCGACGGCACCAUUGGCUUUGGGACGAUAAGGAGUAGAGUUGUUAUGCGUUAUCUUGAAUUGUUCGCAUAUCUCCCCCAUCAAAUGACUAUUCAAAUUGUAGCAUUAUCAGUGAUAAUAGUUACAAGAAUAACAAAACAACAGAUGUGCUUCGAAUGUACGAAGUCUACUAUAGCUUUAUUGGUGACAAAUUUGAGAGUAAUUGCUUCAACCCACUUUGUGAAGUAGUCGAUAGCGACCAGUAUGAAUCUAUGCCCAUUUGAAGAAUUUGGCUCAAUAGGCCCAAUGACGUCCAUACCCCAGGCAACAAAUGGCCAAGGUGCUGAAACGGGAUGCAGUUCUGUAGGCGGUGCAUGAUUUCAGAUCACCGUGCACCUGACAUUAAUGACAUUUUCGGAUGAAACUGAAGCAUUUUUUCCAUAGUCAUCCAGUAAUAGCCUUUUCGGAGGAUUUUCUUUACCAAAACAUAUCCGUUCAUGUAGGUUCCGCACACUCUUGCGUUCACUUCAUACAUAAUUCUUCCGGCCUCUUUGGCGUCAACACAUCUUAACAAGUUGAGAUCCGGAGUCCUUUUGUACAAGACAUCGCCGCUCAAGAUUAAACCACUUGCGUGUCGUCUAAUGGUCCUCUUUUGGUCUCUACUGGCUUGCAAAGGUAUUCUUUAGUUUUCAGAAAUCUUCUGAUAUCAUGAGAUAAUGGCUAAAUAUUUGGUUCUGCCUUAACUAUAUUAUAACAACCGUGCCUUUCCUGGAUUUGGAUUUCCAAUGGAUCAAUGUGGGCAUUGCCUAAAUAUAACAACAUCAAGGCCAAAGUAGCGAGCGCAUUGGCUAACUCAUUGUGAAAACGAGGAAUGUACCUGAACUCAACUGACUUGAACCGCCUGCUAAGAUCUUCCAAAUGUUUCUUGUAGGGAAUAAUCUUGACAUCCCAGGUUUUCCAUUCUCCCAGAGCUUGUCAGAUAAUCAAAUUUGAAUAUCCCAUGAUUAACAAUUUUUCAACAUCUUGGUCGAUUGCCAUGUUCAUACCCAUAACGCAGGCAUCAUACUCGUGAAUGUUGUUAGUGUAGAAAAAUUGAAGCCGGGUUGUGGCUGGAUAAUGCUGACCAGUGGGUGAGAUCAAGAUUGCUCCAAUUCCAAUACCUGUUGUGUUCACAGCCCCAUCAAAGAACAUUUUCCAAGCAUGGGUAUCUUCUGAUGUUAUCUCAAUUGAAUUUACCUCUUCAUCCGGGAAGUAGGUGCUCAAAGGCUUGUAUUCAUCAUGAAUCGGGUUUUCAGCCAAGUUAUCUGCUAAAGCCUGGGCUUUUAUUGCCGUAUAGGUGAUGUAGACUAUAUCAAAUUCAGUAAGCAGGAUCUGCCACAUUGCUAACCUCCCUGUGGGCAUUGGUUUUUGGAAUAUGUAUUUUAAAGGAUCCAACCGGGUGAUUAUAUAAGCGGUGUAGGACAACAGGUAAUGCCUAAGCUUCUGGGCGACCCAAGUUAGGGCACAACGAGUCCUUUCCAAUAGGGUAUAUUUGUCUUCAUAUCUUGUGAACCCUUUUCUCAAAUAAUAGAUCGCCUAUUCUAUUUUCCCGAUCACAUCAUGUUGCCCGAGGACACAUCAAAAAUAAUUCUCCAAGACUGUCAAAUACAAGAACAAAGGCCUUCCUAGUUUAAGUGGGACCAAGACUGGCGGGUUCGACAAGUUUUCUUUGAUUUGGUCAAAAGCUUCAUGGCACUCGUCUGUCCAUUUAACUACUGCAUCUUUCUUUAACAACUUGAAGAUGGGUUCACAUGUAGACGUCAACUGGUCAAUGAAUCGGCUGAUGUAGUUCAAUCUUCCCAGCAAGCGCAUAAUAGCUUUCUUGUUUCUUGGAGGGGGCAGAUCUCGAAUGGACUUUAUCUUUGUCGGGUCUAACUCGAUGCCCUCCGACUAACUAUGAAUCCCAAGAGUUUGCCGGAUGGAACCCCAAAUGCAUAUUUGGUUGUGUUUAGUUCCAAAUUAUUUUUAUGUUGUCGCUCAAAGAAUUUUCUCAAGUCCCGCACAUGGUCGUACUGGGUCCUGGAUUUGAUGAUCACGUCGUCCAAAUACACCUCUAUCUCUUGGUGCAUCAUAUCAUGGAAAAUGGUAGUUAUGGCCCUCAUGUAGGUUACCCGGUGUUCUUCAGAUCAAAAGGCAUGACUCGAUAAUAGUACAUGCCUCAGGGUAUGGUAAAAGCUAUCUUUUCUUCAUCCUAUUCUUCUAUCAAUACCUGGUGAUAUCUUGAGUAGAAAUCCACGAAGAACUUUUUCUCAUGCUUGGCGUAGUUAUCAACAUGGAUAUGUAUGUUUGGUAAAGGGAAAUUAUCCUUAGGACUUGCUUUGUUCAGAUCUCUAUAAUCCAUACACACUCAAGUUUUCCCGUCCUUCUUUGGAAGUGGAACUACAUUAGCUAACCAUGUGGUGUAUCGAACCACUCGGAUCACCCCCGCUUUCAACUAUUUUGUGACCUCUUCUUUCAACUUGUCACUGAUAUCAAUUUUAAACUUUCUUUCCAUUUGCUGGAUAGCGGGAUAAUCGGGGUAAGUUGGAAACUUAUGAACCACCAAAUCAACACUUUGUCAUGUCAUCAUAUGAACAAGAAAACAUAUCUUUGAAUUCAAACAAGAGUUGGAUCAAUGCAUCUAGGGUUUUUUCAUCUGUGUGAAUUCUUAUCUUGGUUUCUUUGACUUCUUCAAAACUCCCCAAAUUAACCGCCUCGGUCUCAUUUAAGUUCGGUUUAGGUUUAUUCUCAAAUAGUUCUUGUUCUCAAUUUAUUUCCUUAAAAGUCUCUUCUUCAUCAAAUUCUGGCUCUUGGUUCAUUAUUUUACAAUUAGACACGGUGUUUGGAUUUGGGCAUGAAGUCUGCAAGCAUGUCAUAAUAUUUAAAGUUGCGUUAUUAGAAGUGAAAGAAGAAAUAAGAGAGAAUAAUAACAAAAAUAAGAAAGAAUAAAAAGAGAUGAACGAUGAAAUAUUUAUUUCUUUUCAUUGAAUUUGAAGAUAAUAUGGACUACAUUGGAAAUUAAAGAUAGGAAACUAAAGCAAACAUCCGAGUUACACCCUGAAAUAACUCGUUACGUAGAAUAUAUGGCAGGACUGGACUACCGGGAUUCCUGAUAGAUUGGGAAUGGAGUAGCCUUCUAAAUUUUGUAACUUGGCAUUGGGUCCCAUGUAUAGCACCUCAUCGGUGCUUGAGCCUUCUCACGGCUGAACCGUGUGGGUUUUGUACUUUAUUUGCCUCAUAGCCCCACAGAUUUCUUCAAUUUCCUCAGCCGUGAAAGCCUCAUCUUCUUCUUCCUCACUAUACUUAGGCCUGGCGAAUGUUCUAUAAAGAUGCGGAACCGGCUGAGGCAAGACCCAACUAUCAUUCUUUCGUUUAUCUGCCAUUUUUCAUCAACUGGCGUGGCUUGGAAGCCCAUACUAAAGCACUUCUUGAUGGGCGAUAGGGUGAAACGUUUCGUGAUACCUUGCAGUGAUGCCCCGAGUCACUUCUCGGGCUUAUAACCAUGUUUAUCAUUUCAGCACCGACCAUGAUGGAUGCAUUUGUCAGAAAAGGUUAAUGACAAGGGUUCCCCUCCUCAUAUUGGUCUGCAACCACCACUUCAAAAGCAUGAUAAACUAUAUGAUCAAUACCUUCUCCGGCUUCAAUGCAUAGGCCUGAUGGGUCCCGAUAAAUCUACUACUCAUCCUCUCCAUGGACUACAAUCUCCUGAUCUUCAUGUUCGAAUUUCACCAUCUUGUAAAGAGUAGAAGGAACAACCACUGCUGCGUGAAUCUAAGGUCUUUCCCAAGAGGAAAUUAAAUCCACCGGCCCAAUAGUCAAAAUUAAAUCAAUCUCGCCUAUCGUAUCUCUCUUCAUGUCGUCAGAGGCACGUAAAUAGAUAUUUUUGGGCCAUAUUCUCUCAAUACCGAUUUCCAUACAUUGCAGAGUUGAAAGAUGGCAAAUAUCUACCCAGAACCACAAUCUAGCACGACCCUUUUUCACAUAAUAUCCAUCGCAUUUCAUCGUCAAAUGAAGGGCUUUAUUGUGGGCAGCCCCUUCCGAGGGUAAAUCAUUCUUACUAAAAGAGAUUUGAUUGAUUGCGAAAAACCUUUCUACCAUCAUCUCCAACUGUUCCACAAUGGUUUCAAUGGGUAUAUACGCUUAGUUGAGGGUUUUGAUCACUACUUUCUGAUAUCAGUUGAAUUCAUUAGUAGAGACAACAAAGAGACCUGAGCAAGGGACUUUUGGAGUCGCUCAAUUAUCUCGUAGUUCACCGUUUUCAUUUUUGAAAGAACUGUUUUGCUUCUUCAGCACUCGCUGGCUUCUUAAGCGGGAAAUGCUUCUUUGUGGCAUUAUUUACUUCCUCCAGAUUGAGUUACCUCUUAGCCGGGUUAGUUUCCUUAACUUCUCUAAAGAUCUCUUUACCUCUGUAAGUUACUACCGCUUUGUUGUUGUUCCAUGGAACGACAGUGGGAUGGGCCUUUGUGGUGCGCAGUCAAUAACCACGGGCUCAUUCAGCCUUGGUGGAACUAUUAGCCCACGCACCACGUAGGUCCCUUUGAGCUCAUACAUUUUAGCUUCCUUGUUUAGCUCAAACCUUCUAGGAGGUCUCAAUUACAUUUGUUCUUUCUUGUGGCCUCGGGAAAUAUAGAGAACGACAUUUGUUGAGGGUGCUGCCCCAAUUUCGGUUUCCACUUUCUUUUCACCCUUCUAAGGGGUGGUUUUAUUCUUCUUCUCCCCCUUGUCUUGUUUUGCGACAACUUUUGGCUUCUUGUCCAUAUAGGCUAUGGCAAUGAUGGCUCUUAGAGCUGGGUCAAACUCUCUAUCAUCACAAAUCAUUCCAAUAAGCGUCCCGUUGUUGUGAGCCGGUAAUGGAUUGUUGGUUACAUUAGGAACGCCUUCGUCCUUUAGCACUAUUCUCAUCUCUCUUCAAGGUCCAAUAAUUAUAUGUAUCAUGUCCUUUCGCCCUCGAGUGGUGAGCAUAUCGAGCACCAGCUCAGUAAGCGGGCGAUGCUAGGUUUUCCUAGUUUGGGUACGGGCUGCAACUAACCCAUCUGGACAAGUUUUAGGAAAAGGCUGGAAUAUGAGUCACCAAUGGGUGUGAAGUUUCCAUCUUGGGUGGUUCCCGGGCACGAAAGUUGUUCUGUGGAGGUCAGGGAUUAUACUGAGCUUGGUGAGGAGGUUGAUUUCUGGGAAAUGGAGCUCGGUUUUGGGUGAAUUGUUGUUGUGGCCUAGCAUAAGGUUGGGCAUCCAUCACUGCAUAUGGCUGAAGACCAUAACAUAGGCCGCAUCUUGAUGGGGAUAGUAGUGUUAUGGAGUAUUUAUAAUGAAGUAAGGGUUGGGUGGACGAUAUUUUAUUACACUUGAAGUUUCCAUUGCCGAUUCUUCCUUCUUCUUCCAAUUUGCUACGCCUCCAGACCUACCUUGAAUUGCUUAGGAGGUAGCCCUUAUUGUAUAUUGACUUAAUAUGCACCCUGUCUUUAACCCAUUUUCAACCAUUUCACCAACCUUUAUGGCUUCAGCAAACAGUUUCCCCAUCGCAGACAUCAUGUUUUGAUAAUAAUCAGCCUGUAGUUCUUGAAGAAAGACACUACCCAUCUCUAUUUCGUCCAUUGGAGAAGUAGCUUUGGCGGUUUUCUCACGCCAUUUGACAGCAUACUCUCCGAAGCUUUUCGAGGACCUUUUAUUUAUAUUUGAUAAUGAGUCCACGUCAGGGGCUAUGUCAAUGUUAUACUGAAACUACCUGACGAAAUCUCGAGCCAGGUCAUCCCAAAUAUGCCACCGAGAUAUAUCCUGGUCCAUAUAACAUUCAGAAGCAAUACCGACCAGGCUCUCCCCAAAAUAAGCAAUGAAGAGCUCUUCUUUUCCACCUGCUCCCUGAAAUUGGUUGCAAUAUCUCUUAAGGUAGGCUAUGGGAUCCCCAUGCUCGUCAUACUUUUCAAACUUUGGGGUUUUAAAACCCAAGGUUAAUGUACGUAUGGGAACAUACACAGGUCAACAUAGGAUACACUCUUUUGCCCGCUCAAACCCCAUAUAUUUUUUAGACUCUGCUCCAUGCUCUUCAUCUUUCUAGUAAUAUCCUCUUCUUCAGAGUUUUUUGUGGUUUUUUCUUGCCCGUGAUAAACUCGUAUGGGGUGGCUGAGGGUAAGCAUUGGUAGUAAUCUGGGUAGGUUCCAUUGGGAAAGAUGGUGUUUGAAAGGUGAAGGCCGAUGGAUCAAAGCUAGGCCUAAGUUGAGUAGGUUGUGUUGUAGCUGAACAAGGUGGUGCAAUGAAUAUAUUUGAGGCAACUUUUGACAUUAACACCUGGGGACGAGCCUUAGAAGGUGUUCCAACAAAGUGGGUUGAAAUGGUAGGAUAUCCCAGUGGGGUGUUUGGAUAACUUAUGGGGACAUUGGUGGUUCCACUCGCCCUUGGAAGUAACUCAGGGAAUCCAUGUAUCAUGCUUGGUGGUUCUUUUCCGUUGGCCCAAGCGUCCCACAUUUCCAUCAUACGAAGAUGUAGAAUUCUAUUUUCUCAGCAGUUGCCGACUCAGAAGUUGGGAUGUCCAAGAUCGGGCUAUCCUCCGGAAUAGGGCCUGUUUGGCAGAUGACUUUCUGACGACAUUUCAACGCUUCCUUUUGACCUCGUGAAGUAUGGAUGUGAAGCCAGACUACCACAAAACCAACAACCCUACUAUAGAACCUGUACUUAAUAGUAGACAACAAACCGGUCAGUUUGAAGCAAUUAACAUACAGGUAAUCGCACGUUGGGGUGUGAUGCACCUAUACAUCUAAAUGUGUUUCUACAUGUUUCACAACUGUUGCGUGUUUCAUCCCGUCUUUUGCCUAUUUUCCCUUUUUUUUUCUUUCCACUUUGGCUCUUUGUACUUAUUACCCCCCCUCCCAUUUUCCGCUCUUUUAUGUCCUCUCUUUUCUUGCUUUGCCCCUUUUUUCGUUUUUCUUUUGGUUUUUCUUUGGCUUUUUUUUCUCUUUUUUUUAAUUAUUCUUUCGGUUCUUUCCUCCCAUAUUCCUCUUUUAUUUGAGUUAUUCAAAAAAUCAUGACCGGAUUUGAUGAGGAUUGCAUAUGUAUCACGAUGCCGCGUGAAUCAGGUCAUUACGUAGUUCAGAAAAACAAAUGUGAAAAAUAAAGAAACAAUUUUUUUUGAAAUUUUUAAUUUUCAUUAGUAAAACUCCUAAACUACAAACAAACUCAAAAUAACUUUUAAACUAAAAAAACUGAAAUACAGACUUGAUAAAUGAAAAUUAUUAGUACAUAUGUGCUUUGACUCUUGGGGCCCGUGGGACAUCAUUCGAUCUUGCCAUGUGCGUACGCGUAAGAUCCCCAUGGAGCCGCUCCAGAUCACUCAUUAUUUGGCGUACGAAUGUCUUUAGCCAACGAGUCCCACUGUUCUUGUGAGGCUUCGACAAACUCUUGGAGAUGGAGACUUUUAGCUGGCCUUCCAAACACCACUUUCCUUUUGUACCAAGCGAGGUAACCGGACGAGACUUCACCUCGAGAUAAAUCACGCACUCGGGUAUUUGCAGUUAUAUAUUGGCAUUCACUCCCAAUAUAUAACAGCAAAUACUUCUGUCGACCAGGGUUAUAUACAAGGGUUAUAUAUUGGCAUUCACUCCCAUGAAACUGUGUAUCAGAACGGAUCUCGGCCACAUGGAGGCUAAGGUCUUCAUCCUUGGGUACUAUUUAACAUCUCCCUAGCUGUCUCAAAUCCCGGUAAAGGGCAUAAGCCUGGAUACUUCUGAGACCCAUGGAAAGGAAAUGAGGCCCGCUAGCUGGCAUGUAUAUGAUUUCAUCAACAAGAAGCUACCCGAACUCCAUUCUAUGUGAUUUGCAGUGAUGGAACGAAGGCGUGAUAUCCAUUCUAUCACCCCUUCUAGCAUGUUAAAGCGUCGACCCUUGUAUAAAAUUCACCUAUCCAGCUUUUCCCUAUCGACCCAUAGUUCAUGUAUUGAGGACGAUGAAAUAGAUAUUCAUCAUCCAUAUUUGUAGCAACAAGUUUCACCCUUCAAAAAAGUCUCCUCCGACUUUGCAGGUUGUGAGAGCUCGGAAUAUUUCAGACAAUAUCAUGGGUGCGAUGGUGCUUUUGGCCGGGCUACCUUAAUUUUAUUUUCCCAAUUCCUUCUUUAUUAUAGCAACCAGUCAACAUGCAAACCAAAGCAAAGAAUUGUACAAAUAGCACGUAAAAUAUACAUCAGGAUGCUCUUUGAUCUUGGGGUCCACUUGUCCUAGAUGGACCCAACCCACUGUGUUGAGUCCCCAUAGCCAAAUGCACAUGAUGCAAACAAACAUUCCUACUAGGGAUCUGGCAUGAGAUCGAGUUAUUCUAAAUUAAAAACCUGGAUAUAUUGUUCUAGACUUGUGUACCCGAGCGGACAACUCAAGCCGAGGGGGUCUACGUACCGAGAACCAAAAGAUCAUCCGGCUUUGUAACUUGUCCGAGCCUCUUUCUUAUUUUAAGGUAUGACACUAACAGAAAGUGGAAUCAUGCCAGCGUGCACAUCCCCAAAGAUGAGAAAAGAAGGAUUUCGCAACAGUUUAUAUACAAUUCAAAUAAUAUCAAAGCGAUAAAAGCGGCAAUUAGCACAUUAGGUUCAACAUCUAAAAAUAAGAUAAUUAAUAAAUCCGUAAUAUAACAAUUAAACUCGAAUUCUUCAAUACUGAUUCAAAGUUCUGAAAGCAUAUAAGGGGAUUGUUUUCCAAUUAAAGUGACAUAUUCGAAAUGGUACUAUUUAAUUUAUUUUAGAGUCGCCACUUGGGAUAUUUAUUAUGGUGUCCCAAGUCACCGGGUUGUACUAAGUCCCAAAUCCAGGAAAUUUCAAAUUUCCGUUUGAAGCCUGCGAACUAAAAAUUCUAAAUAAGGAAUUCUGUUAACCUGGGAGAAGGUGUUAGGCAUUCUCGGGUUCUGUGGUUAUUGCACGGCCGCUUAAACUAUUAUAAUUGGUAUAUUAUCUGAUUUGAAUACAUAUUUUAACAUAUGGUUCAAUUUUAUCUUUAUAACUGAUUUUAUUUAGAUAGUUUUACAUAUUACAAAUCAUGUCACGGGAACCGUACCGACGAUCUACAACAUGUUUAAUUUUAAAGACUAAAUUGUGGGCGGGUCACAUAAAUGUACCCCCGAAUUUUAGUAAUUAGAGGUCACAACUACGUCACGGGAACCGUAUCCGUAUCUAUGACAAAAUUAAUUAACGUGCCUAAAGCAAACUACGAAGAUUCAAGGCAUUUCAAUACUAAUUUUUUAUUUAUAUGAGGGCCAGAAAUUAUAUGUUGCUUAAUACGGCAAACCCCAAAAAUUGAUAGACUUGUUAAUUUAUUAAAGACUAAGGGAAUUUCUAGUUUACUUUAAGCAAACGUUUAAGCUAAACUUAGUAACCAUUAAACUAGCAAACACGAAACAAUAUUUGAUUGUCGAAGGAGCUCAAGUGGGCUAUAGCACAAUGACCAACUGCCAAUUACAGGAACGAGUAUGAAGACACAGCUGGGCUCAAUCAUAAAGCCCGUUUCGAGAUUCCGCCGGCCGAAGGAGAAAUUUGGCACAAAUGGGCCAAUGCUAAUAGCCCAAUUUAGUGACUCAGCACUAACAUUUGAGACAGCCUUACAUUUUCAUGAACAUUAUUGAAUCUGAACCAACACUGACGAACUUAAACACAUGUACAACAACAUUUGAAUGCCAAUAUAUAUUCUAUACUGAAAAUAUAAUUGUUAGUGUGAUAACGAGCCUUUACACAAAUUGUUCAUCAUUUAACAUCAAAAAUUCAAGGAUCACGGCUCAUGCUAAAUUCUGAUUCAGUAUAUUUGAACAAGACCAGACGACUUAAAGCUUUCUAAAUAAAGCCAAAUAUAAAGGGGUAAUUUAAAUCUGAGAAUUUCAGAGUCCAAAAUUAAGUUCAAGUUCCAUUUAAAAUCCUUUUAAACUUCAAGGUACUCAUACAUGAGAAAAGGCAAAACUAAGGGACAAACUGAAAUCAUUAGACUAUGCUUCAGGCUGUACACAAGCAAAUCUAAAGAACAAUUAAUGGAAAACAAACCUAAAUAAAAAUUACUAGACCAACAACAUGAAUGGUCCGAACUAAUAAGCAUUUAACCCAUAAUAACAGUCGACUAAAUAAUCACAGUCCUCAAUUAAUAUAUGUUAUGCUAAUCCUAAAAAGAACUCUUGGAUCAACUACAUUCAAACAAAAUCUCAGAUCCAAACCUUGAUGCAAACAUGUAGUACUGAUGACAUAAUGAACACACAUAAGAAGCUAGAAUAAAAGAAACAUAGAAUAAAAUACAACAAAUUCAAAUAGCUGAUCAGGCAAUAGAGAAUUAGCAUUUGUCAAUUUCUUCAACUCGAGUUAUAUGUUUUCAUACUUGCACCUCACAUACUAACAAAAGCCAGAGCAUAUCUGGGUACAGCAACACACAAUGAGAAAACGAGCUGAAGUUUAAGAAGAAACGGUAGCAGCAAAUCUGAUUCACUAAAUCAGCAACAAAACAUACUUGAAAACCAGUUUUUGACUCGAAAUAUGACCCCUGAAAUCCUUUGUAACUUUCAGAUAAUAGAAUCAACAAGAAAACUAGACCAAUUUUUAGCAGGGAUGGCCAUGCAUUUCAAUGUUUUGAAGACUCGGUCAUUUACAAUUUAUUCAGGAUUUUUAGUCUCUAAUUUUCUGCCUUGAGAAUGAAGGAACAAUAACUUUAUAGGCAAGCCUUAGGGCAAUAGAAAUGGGUCAGUUUAGUGCCUUUUGAUCCUUUUGAAAUUUUUAUUUUUGCUACUUGGUCCUUAGUUUAAAAUUAAUUUUUGAAAAUCAGACCUAAUCUGCACCUUCUAGAAAGCUUCCCCAGUCAGUUAUUAAAGAUUUCUUAUCCUACAAUUUCUUAAUUAACCUUUAAACCCCUGUUUUUUACUUCAGGAACCUAAAUGGUUCAUAUUGACACAAGUUUCAUCCCAAAAACCUGGGCUUCCCAACCCAGUUUAAUUCCCCCCUUUGGGCUUCUGAUUUUCAUAACUCAGUUCAAGCCACAAUCAAAGGUCACAAAUUAACGGGCUAUCCAGAGUUUCCCAAAAGAAAAACUAUAAAACCUUUAAAAUGAAAUUAAAGAAAAGGGAAAUGAACUAAUUAGACCUAAAUAAUAAAAAACCAAAGAAAACUAAACUUAACUUUUUAUUAAUCUAAUUAUGCAACAGAACAAUGAUUAAAAGCAAAAACAAAACAAAGAAGAAGAAAAGAGAAGACGAAAAAGAGAUGAAGAUGAACUUAAACGAAAGAAAAAGAAGAAAAAUGCAAGAAAAUUAAAGAAGCUGAAAAUACCUAAGAACCAAGCAGACAAAAUCUUCAAACUACUGCUCAGCCUUUGAUUUUGACCGAACGGGCCUUAAUCAUGUGUUCUCAGAAGAAAACAUGCGAAUAAGGUCAAUUUCAGCCUCAAACCUUCGCUAAACUUGCUGAUUUGGGGUUUUGGGAUUUUAGGAUUCAGAACUUCGAUUUAAGAUUCGAAGGAGACUAGGGUGAUUCAAGGGAAACGAGUUAUGGAUUGGGAAAAAGGAGACCAUGGGGGUUUUGGGAUGUUAGUUUGGGACGGAUUGGGAGCGACGCCGCCACCGAAGAAUGCUAGGGCAGCGCUAGGGUUAUGGGCUAUCUCUGAAGAGGGAGGUGAAGUGAGAGAGAUGAAUUAGAAGGGGGUAGG